UGCCAGCAGCCGCGGUAAUACGGAGGGUGCAAACGUUGCUCGGAAUCAUUGGGCGUAAAGCGCGUGUAGGCGGCACGCUAAGUCGAGUGUGAAAGCCCUGGGCUCAACCCAGGAAGUGCGCUCGAUACUGGCGAGCUAGAGUACGGGAGAGGGUAGCGGAAUUCCCGGUGUAGAGGUGAAAUUCGUAGAUAUCGGGAGGAACACCAGUGGCGAAGGCGGCUACCUGGACCGAUACUGACGCUGAGACGCGAAAGCGUGGGUAGCAAACAGGAUUAGAUA
rnacentral:rRNA from 1 species